rnacentral:rRNA from 1 species
GCAACCCUCCCGCCCCGCCGGCCUCCCCUCCCCCCCCUCUCCGGUACGUCCCUCCUCCCUCCCCCGCAGAUCCGCCCGGAUCUCCCCCGCUUCCGCCAAGCACGACCGAGCUUCCUCUGCGCCGAUAGUCAGAUAGGUGAGGUUCGGCAGCAGCAUUUCGUACCGAAUUUGUGUCCAGGGGGAUUGCCGGGAUGUUCGAGCGCGCUCGGGGAAGGAUUGGAUCCCGGGACGGCCGAGCUCAUCGGGCAUGCCACGGCCGGCCAUCAUUGCUGGGUUGCUGCUGGCCUUUACGUGCAGAUGCAGUUUUUUAGUGGGUGUGGGUGCGGCUUUGUUGCCACUAUUGGGAGUUUGGGAUCUGGCCACGGGGACCCAGCACACAUUUAUCGCUCGUGGAGUUCGGUUUGCUGCCUGCCCCGAGCAUUUAUCAGCGCCAGGCCGUCCUUGUGCCAGGGGAAGGGCGACAGGUGAGGAAAUCUCGGGCGGUGUUCAGGCUGUCUCUGAUGCUGCUCCAUGCUCGGUCGAUUUUCGUUGGAAUUUCUCUGUUGGUGAUUGCUAGGGCUGUUCCAGUUUAUGCUUAGAGUGUGCGCUGGCCUGUGAUGCUUCUGCUCUGCAGUUUCGUUAGGGAUUCGGUCGUUGCCAUGAACGCCCUGCUCAAGAUUUGACCCCUGACAUGUCUGAGUACCGCCUGUAUCAACCUGUCAGUUCAGUCUGUGUGUAAGAUUUGUGUACUAACAUAGCUUAUCAUUUGCCAUCACAAACAGCUGCAUGCAAACCUGCGUUUGGUUUCCUUGCAACUUCUAGACCUGUAGAGACAGGCGGGCAGAUGUUUGCCGUGACAGCUCUGUUGUGCAGUUUGGUUAGGGGUUCCAUCGUUGCCAUGAAUGCCCUGUUCAAGGUUUCAUGGCUCACAUGCUGAAAACCAUCCAUGUCAACAUGUCAGUUAGGCCUGUCUGUAAGAUUUAUGGUUGUAUUUGGAUCUUUCAGGAUGUAUUUGCCCACACAGUUUAAGGACUUCUUCUCAUUUGCCAUCACCUACAGGGGCAUACAGACAUGCAUUCUGGUUUCCCUGUAGCUUCUGGACUUGUGGAUAUUGACAUUUGUUUAGGGUUGCCAGGUUGUGGUAUCACUGUAAACUCCAAAUUGGAUAUGCGGAUUUAUCUACUUAGAGUUACUGCUAGUUGGAACUAUCUUUUUGUGUUAACUUUCUCUUGGAUUUAAGGCUUUAUAGACUGACAUAUUUCCCAACGUUACUGCAUAAGGCAUGUGUCAGGCCUUUAGUAGUCCCUUAUUUUGGCUAUCUUUGCUUGGUUUUUAUUAUACGUUUCCAUAGAGCAGCAAAAUUAUAGGUGCACUUUUUGCAUAAAUUGUGCAAACCGCUAAUUUGUAUUAGCAAUUUAGCAUGCUUAUGCCUUGGUCUCAGUUAACACUGUGCAGAUCUCAUUUCUCCCAUGGCAGGUGAAAGUCUAGAUGGCUCCUUUGGUGCUGGGAAUGUGAAUUGCAGAAAAGAACAACUGUUUACAUUUUGGUACUGCAUGAUGAACGGUUCAACGGGUUCCCUAGGGGAUCAUGUGAACGGAAAGCAAGUGCAAAGUGUUGACCCUCCUGGUCUUUCAAGUUUCAACAAUGGACCAAGACACCGUCCGUUGAAUGCAUUGAGACGCUGCCGUGGUGUAUUGUGCUUGGUGAUUAUGCCGGUGACCGCAUGCAUGAUGAUGGUUUACCUAGCCCCUGUGACAACCUUCGUUGUACGGUUGUUCAGUGUGCAUUACAGCAGAAAGUGGACGUGCUUUCUGUUCGGGAUGUGGUUAGCCAUGUUUCCCUUUUUGUUUGAGAAGAUCAACAGGACAAGGUUUGUUUUCUCUGGUGAAAAGGUGCCCCCCAAAGAGUGUGUCUUGCUGUUUGCUAACCACAGAACUGAGGUAGAUUGGAUGUACCUGUGGGAUCUUGCAUUGAGGAAAGGCCGUUUGCAGUCUAUCAAGUACAUCCUGAAGAAAAGUUUGAUGAAGUUGCCUAUUUUCAACUGGGCAUUUCACAUUAUUGAGUUUAUUCCUGUAGAGCGGAAUUGGGAGGUUGACGAACCACUAAUCCGAAGAAGGCUUUCUGAACUGAAGUACCCCAAGGAUCCCCUUUGGCUCGCAGUUUUUCCAGAAGGCACUGAUUAUACUGAGAAGAAAUGCAUCAAAAGUCAAGAGUAUGCGGCAGAGCAUGGUUUGCCUAUUCUGAAAAAUGUCCUCCUUCCCAAGAUAAAAGGUUUCAAUUGCUGCCUGCAAGAGCUGAGGAGUAACUUGGAUGCUGUUUACGACAUCACGAUCGCAUACAAGCAUCGGCUCCCAACGUUCAUGGACAACGUGUACGGCGUCGACCCUUCCGAGGUCCACAUCCACACCAAGAUCAUCCAGGUCUCUGACAUACCGACAGCAGAGGACGAAGUAUCCAGCUGGCUGACGGAGAGGUUCAGACUGAAGGACGAGCUCCUGUCUGAUUUUUUGACACAAGGCCACUUCCCCAAUGAAGGAACCGAAGAAGACCUGUCCACGCUCAAGUGCGUCGCGAAUUUUGUUGCGGUGAUCGGCAUGACGGCCUUCUUCAUCUACCUGACCCUGUUCUCGUCCGUGUGGUUCAGGGUGUUCGCGGGGUGCAGCGCCUCUUUCCUCACGUAUGCGACCCUGUACUCUGUACACGCGCCCCAGAUCGUGUGUUUGCCGGAGGCCGGCGCCCACGCCAAGAAAGCUUGAGCUUGGCGUUGUAAGCCGGAGCUGGAAGCUGUGUAUGUGUGUCCGCAUGCAGUAGAAACAUGUUUACUGCGUAUACGCAGCUUGUGGUGUCAUUCUUUUGUAUGUGUGUAUGGUGAGUGGCAUCUACAGUUGGGGGUAGAACUUUUAACUCCACUCUUGACUCUUUUUUGGAGCAAAAUACGAAGACUGCAUUACAAAAGUGGACGGAGCCAAAAUCGGUCGCCACGUAUCUUUUGUCUAUACUUAAAAGCAG